rnacentral:rRNA from 1 species
UACGAAGGGUGCAAACGUUGCUCGGAAUUAUUGGGCGUAAAGCGCACGUAGGCGGCUUAGCAAGUCGGAUGUGAAAUCCCUCGGCUCAACCAAGGAAGUGCAUCCGAAACUGCUGAGCUUGAGUACUUAAGAGGAUCGCGGAAUUCCCGGUGUAGAGGUGAAAUUCGUAGAUAUCGGGAGGAACACCAGUGGCGAAAGGCGG